CCGCACGUAAAGAUUCCGGACUGCCAAGCUCAUGCCACGCCCAGAGACUUCGGAAUUCUCAACAAUGCAAAGGCGUCCUGCUGGCCAAACACAAUGAGUCUGCAGGCUGAAAUAGGUCAGGAGCUGCCAGUUUGCAAAUUCCAAAGAAAGGACGAGGAAGUCAGUUAGGGGCAAGCCCAGAAACCGAACGACACUGACAAGCACAGAGGCAAGGGAGAGCAGAUUCACAAAAAUAACUCAUCGCUGAGGUGAACUCCCGAUGCUGAAGUCCUGAGGCUUGAUGCAGGGCAGCAGGGCAAUCUUGGAAGCUCCAUAUUGAAGAUGGUGGAGGCACAGUUUGAAAGGAGUCUGGGUUGGAGGAGAGCUACAGGCAGAUCAGGAACACCCAUCUUGGAUUUGACCUGAGUGAAAAAUAAACUGCAAUCAUUAUGUUAAAACACUUACAUAUUUGGGGGGAUUUUUUGUUUAUCUUGUGAAAAUGCUCAUUAACCUCUAUUGUCAUAAUAAAAAUCCUUAAAGUUGGUGCUAAAAAUAAAUGCAA
rnacentral:lncRNA from 1 species